CCUAAUUAAAAUCUUAGCUCUGCCACUAACUUGAUUCAUGCCCAAACUAAAAUUUUCCACCUUAAACUGAUUAGGUUAAUUGCUAAUAUUAAGUACUUGGCAACCUUCUUAAGGCUACAGCUCACAAAAAUGGACUACUAAUCCACUAUCUUUGAGGAAGUGAUAAAGAUAAAUGGUUUUAUCUCAUUUAGCAUUGUGCAAAAGCUACAAUUAUAUCCUUGUAUUUAAUUAUGGCUGGAUGCAUGGACAUGGAUAUGGACAUAGACACGGGUACAAGUACGGGUAUGAUACGGUGACACAAGCAAUUUUUGAAAAAUUAUAACACAAUAGGAUAAAUAGGACAUCGUUACAACACAUAUAUGACGCAAAUACGAUAACACUCCAAAUAAAGUGUCCAUACAACCAAGAUUACGAGUGCUUUUGUUUGAAGACCAUAUAUCAACAAGGACUUCACAGAGCUUCCUUGGAAUCUGUGUCAUUACUUUGCUUACUUGCUUAGCUAUAGAGAACCAUGGUUUGUGCUCUUCAUCCCUAUUAAUAGGUUUUGAGCAGCGGAAAAAGUGUUUUACUACUCCUUUUGGUUAUCUUAUACAGGAUGCUCUGUUUCUAGCUACUGAAUCAAUGGCUCCAGUUUUCACAUGUAAGAAGACCAGUUUUUGGUGAUUCGGUUUGAGUAUCCAGAUCUUCUAGAAAACACAACAUUCUGAAAUCAUAAAUAGUACACGUGAUGGUGCAAACAGGGUUACAGGGGAUCCAAGAAGAUUAGAGAAAGGUCAUUUCUUUUAUCAGGCAUUGAAGGUGGAUAUCUGAUCAAGAAAAUCAGCAUGGAUCUUAUGAAGAUGUUGGAGAAUAUUGUUGAUUCGAUAUGGAUCCUUUAGUGCUUCAGUAACUUCAAGGCUAUCGUCCCUUUUUUCAGUAAUUCCUAUACAGAAAAAUCAACAAGAUAUUAUUAAUAUCACAAGGAGUAUAUAAAUAUAUAUUGGGGAAAACACAUGAAACAAGCUACAACCAUUUUCAGUAAUGUAUAUUGUGGGACUUUGGUACUCAAGAUUCAUAAACUCCAAAAGUUUCUGUAGCCCUAUCGGAUAAAUGUAAAUAAAAGAGUUUCCAGGUGCCUGCAAUUCAAGAAAUUUAAGCAUUAUUAGCAAAUACAUGCAAUUC